rnacentral:lncRNA from 1 species
AAUCAUUUUAUACUUAAUUGCCAUAUGCUAGAAAUAAAAAAAAAAUCAUAAGUUUUUCGUGGCACCUUCUCGAGCUGCUCGUUAGUGGGAAACUGAUGGAAGGUGAAGUUGCCGACCUCUUCUAUCCUCUACGAGCAACAACUCCUUCUCUAGUGCGCCGCCUCCGUGAGCAGCAACAACUCCUCCUCUGGCACACCGCCUCUUGGUAACAACAACUCCUCUUGCAGCGCUGCCUCCGCGAGCAACAAAAUCUUCUUUGACAACACCACCCCCAUGAGAGGCAACACCUUCUACGACGCAAAACAACAACAAAUCAAAAGGUGGCAAAGGGCGUGGGCCCAUAGGCCGCAAUCGACGAUGAAUUGAGGAGGCGACUCAAGCCCGGUGUGUCAUGCCCGUGUACGCCAGACGGCGAAGAUGAAGGUGUAGGAGGCGAAGUUGCCAUGCGUGUCGCAUGUUGGAUCUAAUCCGUUUUCUUGCUUCUACACCUCUCGCACGAUGAUGAAUGGGAUCUUCACCAGCGUCGUCGAUAUGGUGUAUGAGCUCCUCCUCCUUUCGUGCGACAAUGAAGAGCUACACCGCUAACUGUCGUGAGCACUGCCGCGCGCCGCUGCGACGUCGCCAUGGCUGCCGCCUGUCACAUCCAUCCCAUAUCCUCCCCCCGCACGGUGGCAAAUGGGAUCAUUGCCGGCGUCGUUGAUGUGUUGUACUAGGUCCUCCUCUUCUUGCAUGACAACGAAAGUGAGCGUCGCGAGUGUCGUCAUGUGGGUAACCGCAACGAUGGGAGCGAGUGGAGUGUGCGACUCACUAGUAAGUAAGUCAAUAAGGUUCCAUAUGGUAGGCGCUCGUGAUGAAGCCCAGAUUAAUCUUUGAAGAUGUCAUGGUUAGACCAGCUUUGUUCCAUGAUUCGUGUACGAAUGAUACGAAACUUCAAAAAUCCGAUAUCAGAUUUUUAGCAUUUAGAAAGAAAAAAGUACUUAGCAAUGCAGAAGAUAUAUUGAGUAUUAUGUG